CGGCCGCUCUGGGGGCGGCUGGGGCAAGUGGGUGCGGCUGAAUGUGGGGGGCACGGUGUUCCUGACCACCCGCCAGACGCUGUGCCGGGAGCAGAAGUCCUUCCUCAGCCGCCUGUGCCAAGGCGAAGAGCUGCAAUCGGACAGGGAUGAGACCGGGGCCUACCUCAUUGACCGUGACCCCACCUACUUCGGGCCCAUAUUGAACUUCCUCAGGCAUGGCAAAUUGGUGCUGGACAAGGACAUGGCUGAGGAGGGGGUCCUGGAGGAAGCUGAGUUCUACAACAUCGGUCCUCUGAUUCGAAUCAUCAAAGACAGGAUGGAGGAAAAAGACUACACAGUGACCCAGGUGCCACCCAAGCACGUGUACCGAGUGCUGCAGUGCCACUUCCCAGGAGCCCACGGGCUCCUCUUCUAGCCCUCCCCAUAGCCGGGCUUUAUAACGGCAGCCUGGCUGGGCUCUGAGCAUCCCCUCUGGGCUAGGGAAGACCCACCAGCUGCUUUGGCUGUAGCCCUCUCUCUCCCAGAGGUCCCUUUC
rnacentral:lncRNA from 1 species